AUUGAACGCUGGCGGCAGGCCUAACACAUGCAAGUCGAGCGGAUGAGAGAAGCUUGCUUCUCGAUUCAGCGGCGGACGGGUGAGUAAUGCCUAGGAAUCUGCCUGGUAGAGGGGGAUAACGUUUCGAAAGGAACGCUAAUACCGCAUACGUCCUACGGGAGAAAGCAGGGGACCUUCGGGCCUUGCGCUAUCAGAUGAGCCUAGGUCGGAUUAGCUAGUUGGUGAGGUAAUGGCUCACCAAGGCGACGAUCCGUAACUGGUCUGAGAGGAUGAUCAGUCACACUGGAACUGAGACACGGUCCAGACUCCUACGGGAGGCAGCAGUGGGGAAUAUUGGACAAUGGGCGAAAGCCUGAUCCAGCCAUGCCGCGUGUGUGAAGAAGGUCUUCGGAUUGUAAAGCACUUUAAGUUGGGAGGAAGGGUUGCAGAUUAAUACUCUGCAAUUUUGACGUUACCGACAGAAUAAGCACCGGCUAACUCUGUGCCAGCCGCCGCCGUAAUAC
rnacentral:rRNA from 1 species